rnacentral:rRNA from 1 species
UACGUAGGGUGCGAGCGUUGUCCGGAAUUAUUGGGCGUAAAGAGCUUGUAGGCGGUUUGUCGCGUCUGCCGUGAAAAUCCGGGGCUCAACCCCGGACUUGCAGUGGGUACGGGCAGACUAGAGUGUGGUAGGGGGAGACUGGAAUUCCUGGUGUAGCGGUGAAAUGCGCAGAUAUCAGGAGGAACACCGAUGGCGAAGGCAGGUCUCUGGGCCACUACUGACGCUGAGAAGCGAAAGCAUGGGGAGCGAACAGG